CGUGUAGGCGGGAAUACAAGUCAGAUGUGAAAUACUGUGGCUCAACCACAGAACGGCAUCUGAAACUGUAAUUCUUGAGUACUGGAGAGGAAAGCGGAAUUCCUAGUGUAGCGGUGAAAUGCGUAGAUAUUAGGAGGAACACCGGUGGCGAAGGCGGCUUUCUGGACAGUAACUGACGCUGAGACGCGAAAGCGUGGGGAGCAAACAGGAUUAGAUACCCUGGUAGUCC
rnacentral:rRNA from 1 species